AGCACUGCAGUGAACCAUCGCACUAAAACUAUUAGCAAGCACCUGGUGGAGGAGGCCUCCAUAGGUAAGUGGCACCUUUAUAACAUCUGAUAUCCGGUUAAAGGAGUACUCUUCUAAUGACAGAGAGGUGGCCUGGGGAGGGUCACAUAUGCUCCUGUCCAGGACAGUAACGAGAAUCGUUCUGUCUUCUGUUCUGUUCUGUAGGGAAUUCCUCUGGAAGGGUAGAGAGUUGCCGACUGGCACUCACGCAGUCCUACCCCUGAGCUUUAGAAAGACGUUACAUUGCUCCUCUGUUUUUCUGUUUCUUUGCCAGUUUCUGUUUUUUUGUGCUUUCUUCUGUGUUCUAUAUGUUUUUUGUUUGUUUGAUUUUGUGCAUUUUCUUGUGUGAUUUCUGUGGUAAAAACUUAAGGAUAUUGGACGUGAAAAUGGGUAAUAAAGCAAGUAAGGCUGACACCCUUUUGGACUGUGUUUUAAGGAACUGUGAUGAACUUUACCCCCCUUUGUUAAUCAGGAUGAGAGAAGCCCCUAAUGGCUGCCUGGAGCACACCCACUGCAGAGGGCCAUGCCUGCUGGGGACCUAAGAACUGAGUAUCUCCCAGGUUAACAAGUGAAACUCCUUUAAAACCCCUUGUCCCUCCAGAUCAAGAGAGUCACAACAUUUGGGCAGAGUCCCCUGUGUUUCUCCUUAUUAGCAAAGUAGUAAAACUCCCUUUUUCUUUUUCUCAAACCCUGUCCUCAUUAUUAAAUUGGUAUUAAUUGGACUCAAGUUCAGGAACCAAAAUUUAAGUUACAAAUUUUGAUACCCCCCCCUCUGACCCCGGAACUUUUUGAGAGCUGACUUCUGAAAUGUUAGGAGAUGGAGUGUGCUUGGGGUGGAACCAAACCAGAGGAACUAAUCCUGUAAGUAAAAGACGGGACUGAGGGACUUCCAGCAGCUGCCGAAGCCCUUUUGCUUCAGGGAAUUCCCUCCUUCCUUCCCUGCACUGUAAGGAUUAUGCCACAUCUGUCUUCUUAAAAAAGAGAAAAAGAAAAAGGGGACACUAAAUGCAGUAAAGUCACCAUGGAGACCCUUGAUAUUAUAUUUCAGGUUACCCAUCUGUAAAAUCAUGUGAUCCCUUUGUGGGGACAUCUAUCAUGUCACUGGUGUAUGAGAUUUUUCUCUUAUCUGCUCUGUUUUAAAGGCUUCUGUCUGUCAGCCAUAGUCUGGAGCUCCUUUCUGUUUGUCUUGUGUCUUUGUUUCUGGCCCUUUAAGACAUGUGCAAUAAUGUGUUUAUAUUAUAAAUUGUUUCUUGGGAAUUAUCUUAGCUGAAUGUGUGUCUAAAUGAUGAUGUUUUAUUGUAACAAUCUGGUAUCUGAAUGGUUUUUGAAGCAUUGCACAAUCUUGCAGUUAAAAGUCGGGUUUAGGUAAUUGUUUAGUUUAUGAUUUCAGAUAAUUCAUGCCAGAGAACUUAAAUACUUAGGAUGGAAAACUAAAGAAAUCUACUUCCAAGUUGGCAAGUAACUUCCCAAACAUUCAGUCUUUUUUUUCACCAAUUUUGAAUUGGGUUGCCUGGGAAAAUGUCACAGUGUGUACCAGUGGAUUAAUUUGGACAAGGAUAGUAAAUCAUAGUAUGGUAUCUGUUGACAAAACAAGAUGUAAAGAUAUAAAAUUUGUGAAUUGUAUCUUAAAAUUGUAUCAUAAUUUUCAACAUCCGAACCUGAAAAUUAUGGUUAAAAUGCCUUAGGCCUGAGGAGUCUGCUCAGAAUAGCAGUUUUUUUCCAGCUCCUUCCAGAACUCAGCAGGACUUAUGUUGAAAUGCAAGUGAAAGAAGUCUGCAAGCUCAGUAAGAGACUGAUCUGAGGCCUAAGUGGGGGAAAAAAAGGUAAAUUGUAUACUAUUUACUAAUUACUGGCCAGUCAUUUUUUCUAGGACUCUUAUAUUUUCCCUUAGAAUCUGUAUUUUUUUUUUGAGCUCAUGAUUUGGAUCCUACAGACCUAGGUUAAUGUUUUGCUGAUCAGUUCUAACUUUGUCCAACAGUGGAGUUUUUGAAACAUUGCAAUGGAGAUUUCACCUGCGAAAAGCUACAAGGCCUUUACUAUUAUAAUGUGUGCACACUUUUGUUAUGUGUUGUAUGUCUAUAUAUACAUAUGUCCGUACAUCAUAUAUAUGAUAUACAAAUUAACAUAUAUAAGGAGCGCUCAUAAAUACAAAUUUUAAAAAGUGGAUCCAAAGAUCUUUAAUUCACAUGAUUUAAAUGGUUCAAUUUAUAUUGGAUAAACAGAUAAAAAUAAAUGUCUUUAAAUUUAAGCUUAAAAGUUUUUCUAGGUGUUCAAAAAUCUAAUAAAAUAUUAAUGUCUAUAAAAUGUCUAAUAUGCCUUGGUUCUAGGACUUUUACUUCAACAAAAAAAUGGUUUAAACUGUUCAAUACAUUUGUCUAAUAUUUUGAUAAAUAAGUAAAGUAAAUUUGAUAUGGGAUUACUCAUUCAUGUGUACUCUUGUUAGAUAUCUGAUUGAUUUACUAAGGUCUGUGUAAGUUUGUUCUAAAGUCUGUAUAAGAUUGUAAAAAUCAGUCAUGUGUUAAAGAGACAAAAAUUUCUUAAAACAUAAGUUUACCCAUAACAUUGUGUUUAUUAAGUUUUAUUUUUCUAGAGCAAGCAACCAUAAAAAUUAAACAACUGAUUAAAUAAGAACUGUUAUUUUAGAGCACUGUACUGCCAUUUCUUUAAAAGCUAAACUUGGUUAAUGUAGAAACAUCAAUGCAAUUGUGAUGCUAUUAAUGUGGUCAUAUCUUCCAGUUAUACAAGUCUGUAAGGUAGAAACUUUAAAAGAGCAUUAUAUCAAGCUGGUGUUCUGAAGUUGUAUGGUAAAAAAAUAUAUUGGGGUUUUAUUUACCUGUUAUCAAUAAGAUAUGUAAAUUUUAUGUUACUUUUUACAUUGGGGAACAAUUUAAAUGUAUUUGUAAGUUAAUGAGAGCCUAAUCUAUGUAAAGUUUAAAAACUUUCAGCCUUUCUUUCAUUCAUGUUUUAAAUGUUAUAUCAUAUGGUGUUAGCUAAUGUUCAUGUGACCUCAAACAAUUUAUGUAAACUUUGUAAAAUUAUAUUUACAAAAAAGAUUAGCUUUAGAACUAAAACACUUAAGAUUUAUAUAGAGCCCUGCCUUACCUGAGAUAAGGCUCUUUGCCCCAUCUUAUUAUAUGUGAGAAUGACUAUGAAAGCAGUAGGUCAUAUGUUAUUUCAUUCAAAGUUAUGUUCAAAAGUUGUUUUUUUUUUUUUCUGCAAGAUUACUAAUAUCUCAAACAGGGGAUAUAAUGUAUAACUCAGCCAAAAAAUUCAGGGUAGCUAUUACACGAAUUAAGUAUUUUUACUCUUGUUAAUUUUAUUUUGUAAUUUCCCUAUAAUUGAUGUAAAGAUUCCCUGUUAGUGUUUUACAGAAGUGUUGCUUUAAUAACACAACAUGGGUUAAUUUAAGGUAAUAAGUCAUCACCUACAAGACAGAAAGAAUAAUACAGAUCCCAAUUAAUAAAAAGAUAAAUAAUUUUAAAUUAUAGACAUUAAAGCCCAGUACCCUUAAUAUAAGGCUGUUAAAAUUUAUUUGCUGGAUGUUUAAGAUUAGGAUUUAAAAUUAAAGUUAAAUGGAAAGGGCCAAGAAAACCAAUAUUUGGCUCUUGCCCUCUGAGUCAGUCUGAAUUUAGGGAACAGGGGACUUCUCUAAAGAGCUUUGCAACUCUGGGCCACAUAACCUCCCCAUCAGCCAGAUUAAUGAGACCACUGGAGAACAGAAAGCCAAUCAGUGCAUUUUCUAUGAAUAAGCGAGUCAUCAGAGAAAGGAGACAUCCCUGGUGCUUCCGAGAGAAGCCACAUGGUCAAGCAAGACCAGGACCCACCUAGCGCAAAUGGCACUAGCAGAACUGAGAAGCUGCUCUCAAGUUUCCCCAGGAAUGACUCCCAUAAAAGCUCAGCUGACUGUUAACAAUUGAUAGAAACAAAAGUCAUUUUGACUGCUUCAUCUUAAACACUUAGCAAAGACAGUUAAACCCAAAAUACAGCCAUUCCUGGGCAUUUUAAAUAAUAAUAGUAAUAAUAAUAUUUUAAGGUAUACACUUUAUGUUAGCCUCCCAAAAUAAGUAAGACUGGAGACUACAAAGAAGGAUUCUCAGACAGGAAUGCCUGAUAACUCUAAAAAGAGACUAUCAAGAGGUGCUGCCAGAGGCAGAAGUUUUUAGUUUAAGGCCUACAGAUAUUCCUAACCUACACAGGUAGGCUUGGUGUUUUCUAGUACGAUUAUCCAGCCCUGAGUAACAGAAUUAAAUGUUUCUCUAUUAGACACAGAGGUCAUACUAGUAAAAGGAUUUUGCAAGAUCAGAUGACAUUAAAUUAUUAAACUGUAUCUUAUGGGGAGUGAGAACUGUAACACUAAAGUUAAAUAUUAAGUUGACAGUCCUGAUAACUGGGGAUAUUAAAGACUGGUGAGGGAACUUCUAUACAGUGACAUAUUCCAGCUGCUGCAACAUUUAUUCAGUACUCAUGGUUUUUGUUUCUCUCAUAGAAGAACCCAUCCCCAGAUGACUUUACAACCUGUUCUUCCCCAACCAGACUUCAAACCAAAUUGACUUCUAAAAGGCAUCUCAAGUCCCUCACACCAUGCCCCCUCAUGUCACCCUCUCUCAGCUCAGAAGAAGCCAAAAUGAGUGACGCCUCUCUUCUUACAACAAUGGAGCCAAAAAUAAAUAGACUAUCAAUAUAAGUAAUUAAUUAAGUCAGGUAAAAUCAGGGAGACUGGUUUUGGGUGAGUUCAAAAAAUAUGGAGACUGUUACCUGAGGGAUUAAAAUUUCCUCAAUGAUCUUCCCCUACACUAUUAAAGAUUUGAAAGGGACACAUUAGAAAAGGGGGGAAUGAUAGACCCAACCUGAUCUUUUAUUAAAAUUGGGAGCCAUCUUGCCACAAAGCCAUGAAAAGGUAAUUUUGGCUUAAAUAUAAAUUACAUCAAAUUCUAAACCUGCUUGGAAUGCCUGCCCAUGCCUUGAACUCACCCAUGCCUGGGUCUCCGACCAGAUAACAGCCCUCUCUGAAACUUUAUUGACACCGCAUAAAUAUUGGCCUUCCCUGGCCUGACAACGACCCUCUCUGAGGCCCUAAUUUUCCUCAUAAAUUCUGAUGUUGGGGCCAGCAAAAAAAAUGUAAACUACCAUUAGUGUGAUGCUUGUCAGAGUUCUGUUAUCUGUAAUCUCCUUUUGUGUAACUUUCUGGGCUAUAAUGCUGGGCCGUAGGAAAGGUGGGGUUGCUGUCUUGUUCCCGCUGAUUUGGGAGGGAGAGUCAGACUGGGUGGUAGAAAUAAUAAGCUUGCUUUAAUUUGAUUUUAAUUGGAGUCAGUGGUUUUUUCUUGUGUCCUGGUCUAAAAGGUAAACACUCCACAAACAUGGAGCUCUGCUGGCCUAAAGACUUCUUGAGAAACUGCCUCUGAGGAUGGGCACUUGACAUAUAUAUUGUUGUCAGGAGCUUUAGCUUCCUUUGUAGUGAGACCAUCAAAGCUGGGUCUGCAUCUAUGUGACCUGGAGGACAUUCUUUGUUAUUUUCCAAAGAACAUGAGGCAGCAGUGCUGAAUUCUCUCUUUGUUGGUAAACUGUGGCCACUGGGGCCUAAGUGUCUCCUCAUUUGGACUGUGAAGCCAUUUC
rnacentral:lncRNA from 1 species